rnacentral:rRNA from 1 species
UGGGGAAUUUUGCGCGAUGGGCGAAAGCCUGACGCAGCGACGCCGCGUGUACGAUGAAGGCCUUUGGGUCGUAAAGUACUGUCAACGGGGACGAACGCCUCAGAUUGAAUAGGUCUGAGGUCUGACGGUACCCGUGGAGGAAGCACCGGCUAACUCUGUGCCAGCAGCCGCGGUAAGACGGAGGAUGCAAGCGUUAUCCGGAAUUAUUGGGCGUAAAGCGUCCGUAGGCGGUUUACCAAGUCAGUUGUUAAAGACUGCAGCUCAACUGAGGGCGAGCAACUGAAACUGAUGAACUAGAGUGCGGUAGGGGUAGAGGGAAUUCCCAGUGUAGCGGUGAAAUGCGUAGAUAUUGGGAAGAAGACCAGUGGCGAAGGCGCUCUACUGGGCCGCAACUGACGCUGAGGGACGAAAGCUAGGGGAGCGAAAGGGAUUAGAUACCCCUGUAGUCC